rnacentral:rRNA from 1 species
CCUUUACAAUGCACGAAAGUGUGAUAAGGGGAUUCCAAAUGCUCAUGCUUUGCAUGGGCUUUUGCUAAGGGUAAAUACCUUGGCGAAUAAGUGGUGGGUAAGACUGGUGCCAGCAGCCGCGGUAACACCAGCGCCACAAGUGGGGGCCGUGUAUUUGGUCUAAAGCGUCCGUAGCCGGUCUUGUACAUUUUCUGUGAAAUCAUUCCGCUUAACGGAAUGGCGUGCAGGAAAAACGGCAAGACUUGGGACCGGGAGGAGCACGAGGUAUUUCAUGGGGAGCGGUAAAAUGCUUUAAUCCAUGGAGGACCACCGAUGGCGAAGGCAUCGUGCCAGAACGG